GAUGAUGAUGAUGAUGAUGAUUGAUCCAUGUUUGCGAAACACUGCAUUUUUGCUUUAUAGUGUCGUCUGAAAAGGAUUCCUUGGAGUUCUUUGCGUGUUUGGGUGUAUUCUUGAAAUAGAAGAAAUUAAAUGAUUGAUUAUUCUGGUAUAGACAAUCUAUGGCUUAAUUUAUUAUAUAUUAAAGAGAUGAUAAAGUAUCACCAACUUAAUGUUUAACUGAAUUUUCUUUAUUUUUUUUAAUGUCAUGUAAACUUCUCAACUUUUUUCCUCUUUCUAAACAUAUAUUGCCGACCUGAAAUUCAGACAUAGUUUUGAACUGCAGUUUCGUCUUGAUCUUUGACAUUGUGGUAAAUUGCUGUUGCAAUAUGGCUGUGGUGACAAAACACACCUUUACACUGCAGUCCCCAUUGCGAUUGCAACCCACAAUUUAAACCAUGAUUUCGUGUAGUUUUGAAGAUGGCGUUUUGGGACCAAGUUGUAUCAUACUGGAUGAGGAUGACUACAUAUCGCACGACAACAUUCAACUCAGUUAUUAACGAAAGCUUCAAGAAAAUAUUUAUCAGGAGAAAUGCUAAGAUCACCUGGUGAACCAUUGCUUUCAACAAGUGUAAGGAGUUCUGGAGUUGGUACGGUGCACCCUUGAGUGUCGCUGUAAAGAAGUGAUAUUCAGAUAAUCUAUACUAGAUUUUACAUCUGUCACAAACUUAUUAUUCUCAAUCUAAACGGCAUUGGAUUUGUUAAUUCAUCUUAACAAGAUUUCCCAAUCAUUUUCCGUAUUUCAUUUCACGCUUACAUAUUACAAGUCAUGUUAUGUGGCUCUCUUGAUCUUCCUUUUUCUGUUU